rnacentral:misc_RNA from 1 species
GAAAUGCGAUAAGUGGUGUGAAUUGCAGAAUUCAGUGAAUCAUCGAAUCUUUGAACGCACAUUGCGCCCGCAUGUAUUCUGGCGGGCAUGCCAGUUCGAGCGUCAUUUCAACCAUCAAGCCCCAGGCUUGUGUUGGGGACCUGCGGCUGCCGCAGGCCCUGAAAACCAGUGGCGGGCUCGCUGUCACACCGGGCGUAGUAGAUUUUAUCUCGCUCAGGGCGUGCUGCGGGUUCCGGACGUUAAAAGCCUUUUUUACCCAAGGUUGACCUCGGAUCAGGUAGGAAUACCCGCUAAACUUAA